UUAGAUCUACCAGUGCCCAAAAGAUUUCUUUUGGUUAUAUUUUGUGUAUGAGCAGAACUGAGAUUUACCUACGAUAUCGAUGUAUCACUACUGCACUGUGCCCCGGUGUAGGCUAUGUAUCUUGUCAUCGGCUAAUUCACAAGUCUGCGAGUUCCCGAAGUUGGAUCAAAAAAACAGGCAAGAAGCGAAUAGAUAGCAGAAGCUGUUUCAAGUCAAGUAAGCUGUCUGAGUGCCAUGAUUAUGAUCAAUUUCAUCAGCUCUAUUGGAAGAGCAAAUUUGUCAUAAAGACAAACAACUGUCAUGGAUAGGAUUAUAGUAAAAGUGUUGUUAAGUCAAGGUUGCAGCAGUGCCUUAUUCUACGCCUUCGUAUCCAACAAAUAUGUGGAACCCGCCUUUGUGUCCAACAAAUAUGUGGAACCCGGUUAACUUAAGCUUAACAAACAAAUAAUUUUUGCAUGCUAAAACAUGCAAGGAAAUAUAGUUAUGUCAAUUUUUCGUCACUUGGCGAGUCUUCCGCAGAAGAAAUAAAUAAAACUUUUAAAUAGCAACGAAAGCAACAACUAUGAUUGCACCUGUGUCUGUGUGCAUUACGUUGACACAUUCCUGUCUCAAAGCUGUAGAGCCAAGCACUCUCCCGAAUUGAUUCUAUACUUUUUCCAUUUCUUGAAUGUCAGUACAUUUUAGCAGUCAUUUGAACAAAUGAAUAUUAGUUAUUUUUGCAAUACAAAUUUUCAAAAUAAUAAAAUGUUAAAUAUGUAGAAGCCUGUGGCCCAGAACUUGCCAGGGAUAGGUUUUCAGCUGAAGUGUG